AAUGCAUACGUAAAGGCGAGAAAAAGUACACAUCUCUUUUAAACUUUAUCUAAAAAACACACACACGAAAGAAGUGCUUUUUACAAAAGCCAAAGAGAAAAUAGUUAUGGUAAAAUAAUACUAUACCAAGUCAAAACUUUUCUGACAAAAAUUUGUUUGUGUACUGAACAUUUAAACUUAUAAUAGAAAUUUGGCAGGAAGUAAAGUUGAAAAAAACCCCGCAAUAGUCCUCAUUCAGCAUGUUCGAAGGAAGUAGAAAGAAGUAAAAAAUGUCAAGUGUGGUCGUAGUAAUGAACAGUAUAAUUUGUAUAAAACCUCUUACUCAGCACAUCCUUGGUUUUGUAAAGGAAGUGGUCAGGAAGGCAGCAAAGAGGUCUACAGCUGCUGGAAAUUGUUGCAAGUACUGUUGCAUCCUACAUGUGAUUGAGGAAGGUUUUUUUUUUUUAUA